rnacentral:rRNA from 1 species
UACGUAGGGGGCAAGCGUUGUCCGGAUUUAUUGGGCGUAAAGAGCGUGUAGGCGGCCAAGCAGGUCAGCUGUGAAAACUCGAGGCUCAACCUCGAGACGUCGGUUGAAACCGUUUGGCUAGAGUCCGGAAGAGGAGAGUGGAAUUCCCGGUGUAGCGGUGAAAUGCGCAGAUAUCAGGAAGAACACCCGUGGCUAAGGCGGCUCUCUAGUACGGUACUGGACGCUGAGA